CCUACGGGAGACAGCAGUGGGGGAUAUUGCACAAUGGGGGGAACCCUGAUGCAGCGACGCCGCGUGGGUGAAGAAGCGCCUCGGCGCGUAAAGCCCUGUCAGCAGGGAAGAAAAUGACGGUACCUGAAGAAGAAGCCCCGGCUAACUACGUGCCAGCAGCCGCGGUAAUACGUAGGGGGCAAGCGUUAUCCGGAUUUACUGGGUGUAACGGGGGCGCAGACGGCGAUGCAAGCCAGGAGUGAAAGCCCGGGGCCCAACCCCGGGACUGCUCUUGGAACUGCGUGGCUGGAGUGCAGGAGGGGCAGGCGGAAGUCCUGGUGUAGCGGUGAAAUGCGUAGAUAUCAGGAGGAACACCGGUGGCGAAGGCGGCCUGCUGGACUGCAACUGACGUUGAGGCCCGAAAGCGUGGGGAGCAAACAGGAUUAGAUACCCUAGUAGUC
rnacentral:rRNA from 1 species